AUUGAACGCUGGCGGCAUGCCUAACACAUGCAAGUCGAACGAGUGGCGGACGGGUGAGUAAUGUCUGGGAAACUGCCUGAUGGAGGGGGAUAACUACUGGAAACGGUAGCUAAUACCGCAUACCAUCGGAUGUGCCCAUAUGGGAUUAGCUAGUAGGUGGGGUAAAGGCUCACCUAGGCGACGAUCCCUAGCUGGUCUGAGAGGAUGACCAGCCACACUGGAACUGAGACACGGCCCAGACUCCUACGGGAGGCAGCAGUGGGGAAUAUUGCACAAUGGGCGAAAGCCUGAUGCAGCCAUGCCGCGUGUAUGAAGAAGGCCUUCGGGUUGUAAAGUACUUUUAGCGGGGAGGCGUUACCCGCAGAAGAAGCACCGGCUAACUCCGUGCCAGCAGCCGCGGUAAUUC
rnacentral:rRNA from 1 species